GGCCCUCUGACUUGUCCUAGGGCCCUGGUAGGGGAUAAGGCCCCAAAGUAGGAAACAGCCAGAGGGAAGAAGUACUUUCUUGCUGGGAGAGCAGCUUGCGCUGGACUUGAGGGAGCUGGGCUGGGACGCGAGGAGAAAAGGCUCUGAGCAUUCCGGCAGCGUACAUGCAUGACUACAAACUCAUGAAGUAGCUUGGACCCGACUCAGUAAUGAAUGGGGCUGAUGGAUGUCUCUAGGAGCCCAGGGGCAUCAUGAACAAACUGGUGCCAUGAGAGUCUCAUGAACCUGGAAUAUUCGGACACCUCUAGAACUAAAGCUGAGGCCGUGGCUCAUCUU
rnacentral:lncRNA from 1 species